rnacentral:rRNA from 1 species
GCUGGCGGCGUGCUUAACACAUGCAAGUCGCGUGCGCAGUUGCCGUAGCAAUACGGUGAUGGGCGCACGGCGCACGGGUGCGUAACACGUGGGCAAUCUGCCCUCUGAUGGGGAAUAACCCGCCGAAAGGCGGGCUAAUUCCGCAUAAGAUUCCCGGGACUUCGGUCCUGGGAUUGAAAGCAGUAAUGCGUCGGAGGAGGAGCCCGCGCCCGAUUAGCUAGUUGGUGAGGUAACGGCUCACCAAGGCUAUGAUCGGUAGCUGGUCUGAGAGGAUGAUCAGCCACACUGGAACUGAGACACGGUCCAGACUCCUACGGGAGGCAGCAGUGGGGAAUCUUGCACAAUGGGCGAAAGCCUGAUGCAGCGACGCCGCGUGGGGGAUGAAGCAUUUCGGUGUGUAAACCCCUUUCGACUGGGACGAAUGCCUCGCAAGAGGAGUGACGGUACCAGUAGAA